rnacentral:rRNA from 1 species
CCCUUAGAUGUCCUGGGCCGCACGCGCGCUACACUGAUGCAUUCAACGAGUUUUACCUUGGCCGAGAGGCCUGGGCAAUCUUUUAAACCUGCAUCGUGAUAGGGAUAGAUUAUUGCAAUUAUUAAUCUUGAACGAGGAAUUCCUAGUAAACGCAGAUCAUCAAUCUGCAUUGAUUACGUCCCUGCCCUUUGUACACACCGCCCGUCGCACCUACCGAUUGAAUGGUCCGGUGAAGCCUCGGGAUUGUGGCCAGUUCACUUUAUUGGGAGUUGGCUGCGAGAACUUGUCUAAACCUUAUCAUUUAGAGGAAGGUGAAGUCGUAACA